rnacentral:rRNA from 1 species
UGCCAGCAGCCGCGGUAAUACGAAGGGGGCUAGCGUUGCUCGGCAUCACUGGGCGUAAAGCGCACGUAGGCGGCUUUCUAAGUCAGGGGUGAAAUCCUGGAGCUCAACUCCAGAACUGCCUUUGAUACUGGAGAGCUGGAGUCCGGAAGAGGUGAGUGGAACUCCGAGUGUAGAGGUGAAAUUCGUAGAUAUUCGGAAGAACACCAGUGGCGAAGGCGGCUCACUGGUCCGGUACUGACGCUGAGGUGCGAAAGCGUGGGGAGCAAACAGGAUUAGAUA